rnacentral:rRNA from 1 species
UACGUAGGGGCCAAGCGUUGUCCGGAUUUAUUGGGCGUAAAGAGCUCGUAGGCGGUUCGGCAAGUCAGCUGUGAAAUCUCCACGCUCAACGUGGAGGGGUCAGCUGAUACUGCUGUGACUUGAGUCCGGUAGGGGAGUGUGGAAUUCCCGGUGUAGCGGUGAAAUGCGCAGAUAUCAGGAGGAACACCGGUGGCGAAGGCGGGUCUCUGGGCAGUAACUGACGCUGAGGAGCGAAAGCGCGGGGAGCAAACAGG